rnacentral:rRNA from 1 species
CCUACGGGAGGCAGCAGUGGGGAAUAUUGGACAAUGGGCGCAAGCCUGAUCCAGCCAUGCCGCGUGAGUGAUGAAGGCCUUAGGGUUGUAAAGCUCUUUUGUCCGGGAAGAUAAUGACUGUACCGGAAGAAUAAGCCCCGGCUAACUUCGUGCCAGCAGCCGCGGUAAUACGAAGGGGGC